CCCAUCUGCAUCUCCAGCCACCUCCAGCAGAACCUCCAGCCACCACGACCACUUUUCGCAGUCUUCUCUCCGCCCAUCAUUCUGUGUGGGGUCUGCAUGUUCUCCCCGUGUAUGCAUGGGUUCUCCCUGGGUUCUUCGGCUUUCUCCCACAGUCCAGAGACAUGCUCUGGGGAUCAGGUUCAUUAGUGACUCCAAAUUGCCUGUAGGUGUGUGAAUGUGAGUGUGAAUGGUUGUGUGUCUCUGUGUAGCCCUGCAAUUGGCUGGCGACCAAUCCAGGAUGUACCCCGUCGGCUGGGAUAGACUCCAGCCCCCCCGCGACCCUGUGUGCAGGAUAAGCGGCCAAGGCCCCCAAAACUGAUGGAGAUGGAGCAGGGACCCUCUAUUCUACAGAGUUUGGUCCGCCAUCGUUUAUUUUUGAGCUUCACCCUCUUUAGACAGCUCUGUUCAGCUGAGGUCUCUGGAUUAGACAAACCACAACCAUCCUGCGGAGAAGGUCAGGUCUACCCAACUAAAUGUCAAACUGCUGUUCUAGGACAGUUUGCCUUCGACUGGCCUGUUUAUGGGGGCCUUGUUCUUUCAGAUUCUAUUUAGGAAGGGAGAGAAACUUUAACAUAAAGCUUAAGCAGGGUGUGACAGCCUGCCU
ensembl:lncRNA